rnacentral:lncRNA from 15 species
CGGUUCUGAGCGCUAGCUAACUUACAUUAGCAUGCUUAUACCGUAAACUAAGAAAACAUUAUUCGUGUUAAACAUUAAAUUGCUACUAAAAUAUGUUUCUAAAAUGAUUUUAGGUGAGAAAUAGGUAACGCAGUAACAGAAUAUUGCUUCGUAUUUGAUCAGCACUGCCUAGUUUGACAGUUUGAUCUGCGGUGCACUUGACGGGCUCACUGAGAAUGACUUUAUCAUCUAUUUUACUCUAAAUGGGACCAUCAUUUACUAAAUGAACAUCAUGCUGAAUGGAAGAAGACUGAAACUAGAGAUUGAGACCAUAAACUCAUUAGGAAACUCUUUAUUGAGCCAUGCAUAUGAAGAUGUUUCAGAAUAUUACGUUAAAAGUGCAUCAACUUUGCACAUCUGAACUGCCGGUGCAGGGAGAUGUAACUGUAUCUUUUCCCACAGAAAUUCUUGGGAAUAGAGAUGACCUGAAGAUGAUCUCAGUGAGCUGAAAUACUAAAGAAUUUUUUUUAUAGUUAUUUUUACAGUUGUAUUUUGUCCUUGAUUUUCGUGACACUCAGCAACAACACACUGAAUUCUCAUUACCUCUCUAUGCCAUCUCAUUACAAACAGAUCACACAUGUAGCUCCAAUAUCUCGCUCCACUUCAUUAUUAUUAUUUUUGCAUCUCAAUACAAGAAAGAAAUAUCAGAUUCAGUUGUUGCCAUUAUCACCUUACAAUGAAUGUCUGAAAGCAAUUGCCUCUUUUACAGAUAAAAUAUGAUGAGCAGGGCUGGCUGGCUUUUGUUCCUGCUUUCAGGGUCACAGUCAGUUUGAAGCCUGUGGUGUCGGUUGGUUGCUACGGGCUACGAGGCAGAGAUUGACUGAUGGUGGCAUUCGCUCUCUUUGUGUGGCAGCUCAAACUGGGAAAAAAAAAAAAGAGAUUGAAAGACAGGAGCCAAAACAGCAUGCCAGCCACAGACAGGCUGACACGGAGGCUCCCCACAACAAACUGGGCCAGGGAGCCUAGUGAAACUGUAUUCUAUUACCAGAGGCAGGGAUUUCACCCAUAA